AUACGAUGAUGAGGAUAUUUUCUAAGUAUUUCCUUAAAUCUCUCCCAACUUUCAUAAAUUAACUCUCCUUCAAACUUGAUAAAAGAUGUGAUAUUAUUCCUAAGAUU